AGUGAACGCUGGCGGUAGGCCUAACACAUGCAAGUCGAACGGCAGCACAGUAAGAGCUUGCUCUUACGGGUGGCGAGUGGCGGACGGGUGAGGAAUACAUCGGAAUCUACUUUUUCGUGGGGGAUAACGUAGGGAAACUUACGCUAAUACCGCAUACGACCUACGGGUGAAAGCAGGGGAUCUUCGGACCUUGCGCGAUUGAAUGAGCCGAUGUCGGAUUAGCUAGUUGGCGGGGUAAAGGCCCACCAAGGCGACGAUCCGUAGCUGGUCUGAGAGGAUGAUCAGCCACACUGGAACUGAGACACGGUCCAGACUCCUACGGGAGGCAGCAGUGGGGAAUAUUGGACAAUGGGCGGAAGCCUGAUCCAGCCAUACCGCGUGGGUGAAGAAGGCCUUCGGGUUGUAAAGCCCUUUUGUUGGGAAGGAAAAGCAGCAGGUUAAUACCCCGCUGUUCUGACGGUACCCAAAGAAUAAGCACCGGCUAACUUCGUG
rnacentral:rRNA from 1 species